rnacentral:rRNA from 1 species
UAGGGAAUCUUUCACAAUGGGCGAAAGCCUGAUGGAGCAACGCCGCGUGUGUGAUGAAGGGUUUCGGCUCGUAAACACUGUUGUAAGAGAAGAAUGACAUUGAGAGUAACUGUUCAAUGUGUGACGGUAUCUUACCAGAAAGGAACGGCUAAAUACGUGCCAG